CUGGCCCUAAACGAUGUGCACUAGGUCGUAGGAACUCUGACGUUCUUAUGGCUGAAACGAAAGCGUUAAGUGCACCGCCUGGGAAGUACGGUCGCAAGGCUAAAACUCAAAGAAAUUGACGGGGGCUCACACAAGCGGUGGAGCAUGUGGUUUAAUUCGAAGCAACGCGCAGAACCUUACCUGGGUUUGAAAUUCUUGGAUUAUCUUGAUGAAAGUCGAGUAGGCCCUUCGGGGUACAACAAGAACAGGUGC
rnacentral:rRNA from 1 species